UAAUAUGGUUUACAUUGCAAUAAUAUGGUUUC
rnacentral:piRNA from 1 species